CCAGGUCACAAACAGCAUGGCUUACCAUUCCUUUCGCUCUUGUAGUGUGUUUAACCACUUAAACCAGUUCUGGAUUUGGAACAGCAUGAAAUUGUUCAAAUCCAGCUACCAUCCCUGCCUGCCUUGACCCUCCUCGCGGAUUCACUGUCGAGACGAGUCGCGCGGGCUGCAGAGUCGUGAAGAGUGGGAUCAGGAGAACAGCUGCGUGUUCAUCGAUGAGAGCCAGUCUAGCGAGGGAAAAGUGAUUUUCUGUAAUUCUCCAGGAAGGAAUGUCGUAGUACGUACUUGGGGAGAGUAACGUUACACAGAUUUGAGACGACAGCUAACCUCAAAAACAACAUACAUCCUGGUGUCCGCAUGCACCAAAUCAAAGGUCGAAGAAAAGAGAAAC